AACGUAGGAGACAAACGUUAUCCGGAGUUACUGGGCGUAAAGGGCGUGUAGGCGGUCUGUUAAGUCUGGCGUGAAAGCUCUCGGCUAAACCGGGAGAGGUCGUUGGAUACUGGCAGACUAGAGGACGGUAGAGGCGUGUGGAAUUCCGGGUGUAGUGGUGAAAUGCGUAGAGAUUCGGAGGAACACCAGUGGCGAAGGCGACACGCUGGGCCGUACCUGACGCUAAAGCGCGACAGCAUGGGGAGCAAACGGG
rnacentral:rRNA from 1 species